rnacentral:tRNA from 1 species
ACCUGGAUGGCUCAGUUAGUUAAGCAUCUGACUUCGGUUCAGGUCAUGAUCUCACGAUUCGUGGGUUCAAGCCCCAUGUCAGGCU